rnacentral:snRNA from 1 species
GUUCUUGCUUCAGCAGCACAUAUACUAAAAUUGGAAUGAUACAGAGAAGAUUAGCAUGGCCCCUGUACAA